UACGAAGGGGGCUAGCGUUGCUCGGAAUCACUGGGCGUAAAGGGUGCGUAGGCGGGUCUUUAAGUCAGGGGUGAAAUCCUGGAGCUCAACUCCAGAACUGCCUUUGAUACUGAAGAUCUUGAGUUCGGGAGAGGUGAGUGGAACUGCGAGUGUAGAGGUGAAAUUCGUAGAUAUUCGCAAGAACACCAGUGGCGAAGGCGGACUCACUGGCCCGAUACUG
rnacentral:rRNA from 1 species